rnacentral:tRNA from 1 species
GCGCCUGUGGCCCAAAGGAUAGAGCACUGGCCUCCGGAGCCAGGGGUUGCGGGUUCGAGUCCCGCCAGGCGCGCCA